GGGGGGGGCAAGCGUUGUUCGGAAUUACUGGGCGUAAAGGGCGCGCAGGCGGACGGGAUAGUCUCUCGUGAAAGCCCACGGCUCAACCGUGGAAUUGCGGGGGAUACUACUCGUCUUGAGUCCGGGAGAGGAGUGUGGAAUUCCCAGUGUAGCGGUGAAAUGCGUAGAUAUUGGGAGGAACACCGGUGGCGAAGGCGGCACUCUGGACCGGUACUGACGCUGAGGCGCGAAAGCUAGGGGAGCAAACGGGAUUAGAUACCCCGGGUAGUCCUAGCUGUAAACGAUGAGCACUUGGUGUAGCGGGUAUCGACCCCCCUGCUGUGCCGAAGCUAACGCAUUAAGUGCUCCGCCUGGGGAGUACGGUCGCAAGCUG
rnacentral:rRNA from 1 species